AACGAACGCUGGCGGCAGGCCUAACACAUGCAAGUCGAGCGAGACCUUCGGGUUUAGCGGCGGACGGGUGAGUAACGCGUGGGAAUAUGCCCUUCGGUUCGGAAUAGCCCCGGGAAACUGGGAGUAAUACCGGAUACGGUCUACGGACGAAAGAUUUAUCGCCGAAGGAUUAGCCCGCGUUGGAUUAGGUAGUUGGUGGGGUAAUGGCCUACCAAGCCGACGAUCCAUAGCUGGUUUGAGAGGAUGAUCAGCCACACUGGGACUGAGACACGGCCCAGACUCCUACGGGAGGCAGCAGUGGGGAAUAUUGGGCAAUGGAGGAAACUCUGACCCAGCGACGCCGCGUGCGGGAUGAAGGCCUUCGGUUGUAAACCGCGUUUCUAGCAGGGAAGGAAGCGAAAGU
rnacentral:rRNA from 1 species